CCACAGGUUGACGGGUGCUUUAUCCAGAAAAUCUUUAGUCAUUCCUUGUCACANNNNNNNNNNNNNNNNNNNNNNNNNNNNNNNNNNNNNNNNNNNNNNNNNNNNNNNNNNNNNNNNNNNNNNNNNNNNNNNNNNNNNNNNNNNNNNNNNNNNNNNNNNNNNNNNNNNNNNNNNNNNNNNNNNNNNNNNNNNNNNNNNNNNNNNNNNNNNNNNNNNNNNNNNCCGUUUCCCUCCACCUCAGCUAAUGUGUUUUAAGGACUAGGCAACCUCUUCGUUAUAAGACCGAGAAUAUUAUAUGCCCCGUCUCACCACUAGCUAGGGCCAAACAUCCCUCACGAGUUCCAAACCUGACCUUCUUUAAGCUGCUUCGACUACGGGAACCACAAGGAAAACGGAACACGAGCGGGAAUGUGGGAGUGUGUAGUUAGAGAUGCUCUUACAUUUUAUANNNNNNNNNNNNNNNNNNNNNNNNNNNNNNNNNNNNNNNNNNNNNNNNNNNNNNNNNNNNNNNNNNNNNNNNNNNNNNNNNNNNNNNNNNNNNNNNNNNNNNNNNNNNNNNNNNNNNNNNNNNNNNNNNNNNNNNNNNNNNNNNNNNNNNNNNNNNNNNNNNNNNNNNNNNNNNNNNNNNNNNNNNNNNNNNNNNNNNNNNNNNNNNNNNNNNNNNNNNNNNNNNNNNNNNNNNNNNNNNNNNNNNNNNNNNNNNNNNNNNNNNNNNNNNNNNNNNNNNNNNNNNNNNNNNNNNNNNNNNNNNNNNNNNNNNNNNNNNNNNNNNNNNNNNNNNNNNNNNNNNNNNNNNNNNNNNNNNNNNNNNNNNNNNNNNNNNNNNNNNNNNNNNNNNNNNNNNNNNNNNNNNNNNNNNNNNNNNNNNNNNNNNNNNNNNNNNNNNNNNNNNNNNNNNNNCAUCAAAGACAAACACCCACCGACCCCGCAAGAUUCGCCGAAGACACACCUCCACACGCCCUCCGGCGACGCUACAUUUUUUAGAAAAGGAGGCCACGCCCCGGCCUCUGCAUCGAGAGAUGCAUACAGCCCUUUAUUAAUAAAAAGAAACCAGAUCCGGAAUGAGUACAAUAAUGUUGAGAAUCGAUACAAGGCGCUCAAAGCGUCCAACCAGCAAAAGUAUAAUAAGUACUCCCUCCGUCCCAANNNNNNNNNNNNNNNNNNNNNNNNNNNNNNNNNNNNNNNNNNNNNNNNNNNNNNNNNNNNNNNNNNNNNNNNNNNNNNNNNNNNNNNNNNNNNNNNNNNNNNNNNNNNNNNNNNNNNNNNUACUCCCUCCGUCCCAAAAUAAUUGUCUCAAUCUUAGUACAACUUUGUACUAGAGCUAGUACAAAGUUAAGACACUUAUUUUGGGACGGAGGGAGUAGAUGUCUAGCCACCUAUCCUAUUAGCUGGCCGCCAUCCAAAUCGGUUGAAGAUAACUUGUGCUACCAUCUCCCAGCGGAUACACCCAGUAAUCAUAAGCUCCCUGGAAUCCGCAGGAGUGAGUAAUGACCACGUGCGGGUCAGUGCGGUAGCCCUAUAUAUUACCUGCAAAAAAUGUAUAGAUGUGCAUCUGUUAAAAACUAAAUCAUUCCCGCAAUUCCAAAUUGCCCAUAGUAAUGCGCAAGCUCCAACACGGAUAUUCUUUGCCAAAUGACCACCAACUCCCUGUACCCACGUCCCAAACAAUGUAUUGACACUAGUGGGUGGGGUGAUAUUAAAGGCAAUGUGUAUAGAACGCCAUAAGAUUUUACCCAUCGGACAUUGGAAAAAGAGGUGCUUGAUAGUUUCCUUGUUGUCACAAAAGUUGCAUCGCUGGCUACCCUUCCAUUUUCGUUUAGCCAAGUUGUCUUUCGUGAGGAUAACACCUUUGUGAACGAACCACAUAAGGAUCUUUAUCCUCAACGGAACUUUGACCUCCCAGACAUGCUUGGAUCUUGGUAUGUACCUUGAAUCUAUAAGAUGAAGGUACAUAGAUUUUACCGAAAAGGAUCCAUCCUUAGUUAGCUUCCAACGAAUAGUGUCGGGCCGAUCCGACAGUUGUAUUUGCAUUAAUCUCCUAACUAAGUGUAGCCAUCUGGUCCAUCUUACACCAAUCAAAGAUCGANUAUAGCUGCGGAUAUUCCAGCGCUAGUGGCACAUCCCCUAACCAUGUAUCCUUCCAGAAUCUAGUUGAUUCACCAUUAGCAAUGACAAACCUAGUCUGGUUAAAAAACACGUUCUUACACCGCAGCAAUCCUUUCCAAAAUGGAGAAUCAUUGGGUUUAACGGUGACCUGAGCUAAGGUCUUAUGUUGCAAGUACUUAUUCCGUAGAAUUUGCACCCACAUGGCCGAUCCGACAGUUGUAUUUGCAUUAAUCUCCUAACUAAGUGUAGCCAUCUGGUCCAUCUUACACCAAUCAAAGAUCGAAGAAACCUGAUAUUAAGAGGCGUGUUGCUCAAGACUGCCGCAACCGACGCUUGUCUGCGUUGGACAAUAUUGUAUAGCUGCGGAUAUUCUAUCGCGAGGGGCACAUCCCCUAACCAUGUAUCCUCCCAGAAUCUAGUUGAUUCACCAUUAGCAAUGACAAACCUAGUCUGGUUAAAAAACAUGUUCUUACACCGCAGCAAUCCUUUCCAAAAUGAAGAAUCAUUGGGUUUAACGGUGACCUGAGCUAAGGUCUUAUGACGCUACAUGAAUCUUGGAAGUUGAUAGAAACUAAAGUAUGUUUUUUUUCUGUUUUCAUGAUUUUGUAGUUUUGUUUGGUAUUAUACACUAAAGUUGCAUUUUGAAACUAUGUUAAUUUAACGGAUGUCAGCUUUUAAAAACUAGUGGUUUUAUUUAGCAGCACAAAAGAACACGGAGAAAAUCCAGGCAAGUAGAGAUAGAGUACACACAAAUGAGCAAAGUAAGUUAGUUGGGUCAAGUUGGUUGUAUGUAAUGCAUGGGAAAUGUGAGGAGUCAAGAUGUACAUGCCUUUCUAUUUUUACAAAAAUGUUGCUUCCUUGCACCCUUUAUGACCGAAAAUUUGGACAUUUACACCAGGGUACUUAAAUCUUUCAAUAGUUCUGGUAGCAUACACAAGGCCUUUCUGCUGAUCAACGAGAACAACAAGAUACAUCAGAUGAUGUCAUAACUGUCACCAUUUUGAUGCCGAACUCACUGAGCACGACUGGAUGUAUAGGAGCAACGACUACGAGAUGAAUGGAUGGCUGCAAUAUGAGAAUAAUGAAAAAAAGAAGUCCGGUGAUCAUUCACGCUGACUUUAGCAUUCAACUUUUGGAAAAUAAUUAAGUCUUGCUUUAGGAAAUAACAAUUAGCAAGAUUCAUUAAAAGAAGAAAAUGGAGUGAUACUUUUUUUAGGUACAUGUCAUGCACUGACCAAAAGAGAAAACGAAACUAUGCUGCAACGUGAAUAGAAGAUCGUUUUUCGUGCAAGUCCACAGGCCACAACACUAGUUCUUUUUUUGAGAAUCUUUCGUGACAAGCUACUCCACCCCAUAUACUAUAUAUAUUGAAACUUCCUUCUCCCCUGGCUCCAGAUAUAUAUGAGCUCCGUAUUAGGUGACUGCAAUCAUACAAUAAGUCACUAGUACAAUUCUGAAUUGGACUAGCCUUAUUUUCAAACUUAGAAUGUACCUUAUAAGAACGCACUCGUGUCUCGAGUACAAAAUUAGUGUGUGCAACUUUUCUUGGAAAUGGGAGGCUCCGGGAAUACAUCGAUCUCCUGCAACUGUGGGACUUGUAGCUUGUGUGGUGAGAAAACUUUGAACUUGGCAGAAACAUCAGGCCUUCAUGUAGCUAGCACCCUUGCUGCUCAUCAACUUUAGACACAAGCCACGUUGGGCUCAACCAUGUUGUAUUCUUUUUUGUGUCAUUAUCAUGUCUCCAAGAUUAUUAUGCUGAAGCGGCCCCGCCCCUACUUCACAGUUUGUAUGUCCAAAGGGCUGGAUACUAGCAAACUGAAACAUUAGAUAGGGUGAGCGGUGGUGGGCACUGUGUGGGUCAUGAACGGUUGCUGGUGGUGGGCACUGCUUCGGGGGAAACCCUAGAAUAUUGUCUUCCAGAUCGGACGAUGACGAUACUGCGGUGCCGUUUCUCUCUUGGGAGCAUCGUUUGUGGAGCAGUGCUGGCAGACUGAGGCAGGAGGUGGAGCGGCUUCGUCUUGCACGGAAUUUUGGUGGAGCUGUCAAGUCAUGCCUGGCCGACAGGUGCUACGCUGAGUCAUGCCUGGUUGGCAGGUGCUAUGCACGACAGAACUCUCGGAGUCUUCGCAUCUGGACGGAUGAGCGCACGGCAGUGGCGUCGUUGGGCGUCGUGGUGGCGUCGACGGAUGAUUGGACUGGCAAGGAUGAUGCGGAUCUCUUUCCUGAAGAUGGGUCAGUGGUUCGAGGAUGAUGACGGUUGGUAAAACGUGUGCAUGAGGUGUGCGUUUUAGGUGUGCUGCACCGGCUGUUGUUCCCGAUACGUUAUGUGGAUGGAUUGGAAACAACACCGGUCUUAAAUAUGCGGAGUGAGAGCACUCCACAUUAUCGAGUUUAUAGGUGUGAGUGGUGGCUUUGGUGGAUUGAUGUAUACUCUUGUUAGACCUUUGUGGAAUAACUAAAAAGAUGGCUGCAUGCAUCGACUGAUGCAAAGGUCGGGAGUUUAACCUCCUUCUCUAAAAAAAUUAGAUAGGGUGAUGGCUCUCAGAUAGAACCUAUCUAUAUUUAUACUUAUACUAAUUAUACACUUCCAAGAAAUUCCCACGUUAAUCAAUAAUUAAGGACUGUUAAUCUUGUGGGGCCAAAUUAUUAUGGUCUAGAUCUCUCUUGAAUCUCUCCCAAAAAUGAAAAAAAAUCUCAAGGACACCUAACCUAUCUAUCACGUAAUCUCUCUCACAACUAUUACGGUCUAGAUCUCUCUCGAAUCUCUCCCAAAAAUGAAAAAAUAUCUCAUGGACACCUAACCUAUCCAUCACGUAAUCUCUCUCACAACUCCCGAGAUAUAUCAAUCUCUCUCCGAAUUGCUCUUUCAAUUUCAUCUUCUCGAUCUCCAAUAACAAAAACCGGCAUGCUGCUGCCCUACCUGAUUGAGCACCUUUUUGCCAUAUGCAGCGCACCAUUGUCAAACGGAAAGAAGAAGUAUUUGAUUGCCUUCGCCACCCAAUCUCGCGGGGUUGCUUGCCUACGUCCGAUGUAUUCAUGCUAAGCCGGUGCAAUGGGGUAUUCGCACCAUGCAACUCCGGCAGCAAUGAUCAAUAUCUAAGCAAGCCAGACAUCUCUUAGGCCGUGGGAUAACAGUACUCUGCCCUCAUCUCGGAUGCAGGGAUAUGUAACUACGUAUUCUCCUCUAUCGCUUCAGGCACGAGGGAACUCAACCACCGCUGAAUAAUGGCAACAUCGGCAGCUUCCCUCCAUGUUUUCCUGACCAGGAAUGCUAGCGCUCGACCACUGCCGAUUGGUGCCAUAGAUCAGCAAUCGGUAAUCUUGAUAUAUAUUUGUGUUAAUCACGAUCAUCAAUAUUAGCGCAAUAUUAACAUGGUUUCCCGAUCACGUCUGUAUCAUUAAAUUUUUUUUGGUUAUUUCAUAUUCAACAAAACAUAUGUUCACAUGUGCGAAUCUCCGUGUGUAGGUAUUGUCCCUUCAGGUACGUGGGAACUCAACCACCGCUGAAUGAUGGCAACAGCGGGAGCUUCCAUCCAUGUUUUCCUGACCAGGUAUGUUAGCACUCAGACCACUGGUGAUUGAUGCCAUCAGCGAUCAGUAAUCUUGAUAUAUAUUUGUGUUAAUCACGAUCGUCAAUAUUAGCGCAAUAUUAACAUGGUUUCCCGAUCAGGCAUGUAUCAUUCAAAAAUUAAUGGUUAUUUUAUAUUCAACAAAAACAUAUGUUCACAUGGGCUAAUCUCCGUGUGUAGGUAUGUCAUAAACGGAGGAGGAAUUUAGCAAUACCAGUUCCAGCUCAAAUUUGACCGGUCCUGUUCAGCUUUUCUACAGCCUCUACUGUCGAACAUUACAUGUUGUACGUGGCCUAGAACUUUCUUACACCGUAUUUAUGUAUUAAACCUCAGAUUAGUGUCCCCCGUGCACUUCAUGGCUCAUUCUUUAUAUUUCCAUUUUCUCCCCUUACAAAGUCUUAUGUAAAAUCAUAACUUUUUAGUCUCGAGCAAUGGCUUUCAGUAGUUUUGUUCUAAGACCAUGUUCUAAAUCCUUAAUUUUUAUAAGCUUUUUUAUGGUCGUGGGAGUCGUACUCACCUUGGUCUCCCCACGUUUCACUCACCUUGGCCUCUCCACGUUUCCUUUGGAAAGAAAAACGAUAUGAAAUCUGAGCGGUAUCUCCUACUUCGAAAACCUCCCAAGUGAUUGCAUGUCCGAUCCUAUGUGUUCUCUCUUUCUCUCACCAUCAGAAUUCUUGCAUUUAUGUCGUCACCGGAGGCAGGAUGCCCUCUCCGAUUAGCUCAUGUGCCUCUAAACAUAAUGCCUCAAUCCACUAUCUUUACAAGUAUACGGUGGUCAUGCUCUAGCUCCUUUAAUGUUAGGUCUGAUCUCUUUUUUAUGCCCCAUGAUUUAUAUCCAUUGUAUUUUUAGUUAUACAUAUAUGGAACUGAUGGAUAAGUAGGAUUAAUGGAUGUAUAGUUCAACACUUGACGAUGAAUAGAUGAAAUAAAUAUAUGCAUACAUAAAUGAUUGCAUGCUUCAGCUUAUAAUUUGGCAUAUUGUUAUUCCUCGGGGUUCCAAAUCAAGGAGACAUUCAUUUAUACAUUAAAAUUUCCGUACAUAUAAGAUUUUUGUUUCUCCUUCUAAUUAAAAACAACAUGUAAUUUUGGUGCAUGUUCAAAAGGUUCUCGGUUCAACUAUAUACAUUUACUCAAGAUAUUUUUUUAACAUUUUGUACAUCGGUGUGUACAUACAUGGCAUCGGUGAUCGAUAGUGCCAUAUCUCAUCUGUAUAACCAAUUUGGAUAUUCAAUAGCACUUCCACUUGAUUUGUGGACUAUUAGACACAUAUGUAAAUGGCUGAUACUGUUGGAUUAAUGGAAGAUUUUUUUUAUUAUUUACCGAGAAUAGAUGUUUGUUUUAAGCAGUUAUAGGGAAAAGAGAUGAUACGGUGUACUGCUGCCAACUUUGUCUAAGUUAUAUUUGGUACCGGGAGUGUUGAUAAUUUAUUUGGAUGAUAACAAAUUCAUUCUAUUAGUGAUGUUGAGAGUGUACAAUCGUCCAACCAUUCAUGUUCAGAGUGUAUUUGGAUGAUAAUGUAUUUCAAGAGGAUAAUACAAAGUCUAUGGAAUCAUAGUUAGUUUUCCUUUUUAUGUAUAAACAAUAUUUUUAAAGAGUGUACCACUAAGCUAUUGUUUAAAUAACUAGCCGGCCCGUGCGAUCACACGGGUUGACGAGUAGUGUGGAUAAUCAUCGUUGUUAAGAUAUCACACAAUAAAAAAAGUAACUGCUCUUAAUCUUUAAUUGGGAGCAACUAAUGUUUCAACUAUCACCCAGUGGGAGAGAUUAAAGCGAAUUAAAGCGUCCUAGCUAGCCUUGCCCGGCCAUGUUAUGGCCGGAAAUCCUUCAAGUGAGAUGCACCAUUCUUCGUACUUUGAUUCUACUGGUAUCCAUCCGGAAGAAUUACGACGACGUACCACUGCAAUCCAACUAUCCAAGUUCAGCCGUCGUGUAUGUGUCUUCCGUAGUUCCAUGACAAAUUACUGAAUGCUGCCAUUCCGCCUACUGCUUCAUCGUCCAUCCCAGUUGUUGCUCGAACUUCAGAUAUGACUAGCACUUUCGAUUAUUCUGUGGAAGUAUUGCACUAACGAGAGCAACAUUAUCAUAAGAAAUAGCAAGGCAUGUGUUUCCACAUAUCUUCGAACUAUCGGGUAGAUACAUACGACCCACACACCACAAUUGCGACAUCUCCAUAGAUCACACACAACUCCAUGAAAAUUUCAUCUUGCAAUACACCAAAGCCUUGCUCUUGUAUUUAUCGUUUGUGUGUUCAUGUAGUUACUGAUAUGAUCCGAUGAAUUCACUUUUUUUGUGAGUACACUCUUUGCAGCAAAACUCAACCCGCUUGCAUAACCGUGUGGCCUGAGGUGGUACACUUUGUUAAGGUUGCUUGAAAAUGCUUUUCAUCACUAGUGGAUAAAGGGGUAUUAGAACCGGUUGGUAAGGGCCUUUGGACCCGGAUACACAUCCGGUGCUACGUAUCCGGGACUAAAGGCCCCCCACUUUAGCACCGGUCUCUUACAAACCGGUGCUAAAGGCCUCCACGUGGGCGCCGAAAAGUGCGCGCAGGCGGAGGACCUUUAGGACCGGUUGGUAACACCAACCGGUCCUAAUGCUUUUUUUUUUUCUUUUUUUUUCCUUUUCUUUUCAGGGUUUCCGAUUCCGUAUUUCGGUGUUUCCGUGUUCCGCAUUUUCAGGGUUUUCGUUUACGUGUUUCCGGUUCCGUAUUUCCGUUUACGUCUUUCCGAUUCCGUGUUUCCGAUUCCGUGUGUCCGUGUUCCGUUUUUUAUGAACACGUAAUCGGAAACACGUAUCCGGAAACACCGAUUCCGUGUUUGCGGUUAAGUGUUUCUCCGAUUCCGUGUUUGCGGUUAAAUGUUGAUGCACCAAAUAAAAGUACAUAUAUACAUGUAACACGAAGUACUGGACCGAUUAUCAUUACAUAAUUUGAAGUUCGUUUCCUAUAUAUAGCUCUAUACUUGCAUAGAGAAGGGAGCUGGCUAUUGGUUCAUAGGAUGGAAAAAUUCUCCGCCUUCAUCUAUGACUUGCGUGAGGAGAAAUCCUGCCAAUUCCUCUGCAACUGCCUUGCAACGUUGGAUUGGUCUUAGCAUCGCCCGCUUUCGUUGCAGCUUUAAAAGAAGUAGAUGAAAACAAUUAAGUUAUGAACAAAACUAACAUAAUUGAUGGCAACAUAAAUAAAGUUAUGAAGAUCCUGUUACGUACCUCUAGAUUUCUGGAAGUACGGGAUUUCUCAUUGAUAAUCCUGUGAAUGUACUCGCAAACGUAGUAUCCACAAUAAUCAGUGCCCUGUGGUUGUUACAGGACGCCCUAUAUACGAGAACAUAAUUCAGUCAAAUUAAUAAUAAUCAAGAGAAUGGUAAUGGUAUUGAAACCAGGGUACGUAGUACUACUUACUUUGUUAAUCUGAAAGUGGAGCUUGUCUGCCCAUGUACCGGGUUCUUCCUUGAUGAACAUUUGCCAAACCCUGGCCGACAAAGAAAAAUGAAUACAAGAGUUAAUUAUUACUUACUUGAUAUCAGGAAAUGAACGAAAAAGAGGCCGAUGAACGAAAGAGGCCGAUAUAUAUAUACCUUUGAAGCAUCUGACGCGCGCUCUUCCAUUUGUCAGCGUCCCAGGUUAACGGGUCCUAGACUUCAACCACUCCUUGAUCGAUUCUAAUGAUGAACAAUAUGAAGUGGGACCUGCGCACGUGUACACACGCAGUCAUGCAUAGUCAUCAAUUACACUUAACAUCAGGUAAGCAAAAUGGAAUGUGUACAAGACAGUAACACUCACUUGAAUGCGUAGGGCCAAAGUAUUUCUUUUUUGGUACUUUGUCGCUUCAAAAACCUUAGCAAAUCAUCCGGUGUAUCCUUGUUGAACUUUUCUAUUGUCUCUUGAUGAAAUGAAUACGGGUCAAUGAACCCAAAGUCCCAGAUUCCUGCCAGCCUGCAUUCACGAAUCUUCAUUCUGCAUAGUAGCGUACAAAAAGAAUGUCUCGUGAGUGAUAAUUAUACGGGCAAUGAGCGCGAGCUUAACUAAAUAAUUAAAUUACACAAAUAAAUCACUUAUAAACAGUAGCAGCUGACGAUAGCUUUGUCGAGGGCACGUUGAUUGUACAUCUGGAAAAAAUCAUCGAACCCAAUCUCCACACCGUACUCUCUGAAGUAGUGUUGAUCCUGAACUGCCGCCAUGAUACAGUCUCUCUUUUGCCUUGCGGCCUCCAAGUACCAACCAUGUAAAUUCCAUAGUUGGGUUGUUAGAGCACUAGGAUUUUCGACCAGAGGCUGCUCGGGCUUAUAUUUAUAUACCACAUCAGCAAUAGCGUAACCUACGUCGCCCAUGCGUGGACCGGACACUGAAGCCUGGUCAGAUAACACCUUGAGCGGGGCAAUUGACUGUGCUUCUUGUUGUCCGAGCUGGGGAACUUGUUUCCCGCAUUUCGUCUGCUCCGCCUGCUUCAUCUGUGCGGUGUGCAUCUUUUCAAUGAACCGUUCAUAGUCUGAAAGGGGCGGCGGUGGCGGCGGUUCAGGAUAAUAUAAGUUGUCGAUGGUGCGCUCAAUUUUCCACUUUGGUACGUUCUUCAGAGUUUCCUUCCAGAUGUCUGGAGGGGAUUCAGGGGAAACCGUGCGAACCAUGCUUUGUUUUUGGCUUUCACGGCCUCGUCUAGUUCCUCCGGAGUCAUCAGGCCUGGUAAUUUCGGGGGAGUCUUGACUUUAUUGGGUUUCCUUUCUCUCUUCUUGGGAGGACUCCCGUUUCUUCUGAACUGCAGCUUCCGCUUUGCCGUACCCGUAGUGCGCGCAUCCGUCGGCUCACUGGAGUGCACGGGCGAUGGACACUCGGCCUCGGGCUCCCUAUCUUCGUUGUGGGGUGGACUUGGAGGUGCGUUGGGGGGGUGGACUUGGAGGUGCGUUGGGGGGUGGACUUGGAGGUCGUGCAUUCUCUGUACGAAAGUGAAAAAACUAUUAAAAAUAGGCUUACAUGUGGUGCAACAUUCAGUAAUCGUUGGAGGUGGUGCAUAAUUGUACCUGGAGGAGUCGGUGGCCUUGGCGCCGCGUUAGGAAACACGAUGUGUUUCUUCUUCCACAAGAUGAUACCAAGCUCCAUUUCUCCCAGUGUCUUCUCACCUUCACCUCCAGGAAUAUCAAGCUCAAUUGACUGGCAUCCCGACGUAAUUGUUGACAACCCGACACGAGCAUGGGAUGCUGGAAUCUGACCACCAUGGUAGGUUGCUCCAGGUUGAUUCGGUAAAGCAUAGCCUGACGCCACCAUGAAGGAUAUGUUCCCCAUUGGCAUAUGUAUCUCACAGUUUGUCUUCUCCGUGACAUCAUCCACGGGGUAGUGAGGCGCCGACGGUUCGACUGCAGGACCGUCUUCUAGCUGCAGCUGCGUGGAACCCACGCUGCUUCUAUGCUGAGAUGGGACGGCAUCUGCUACAGGAUCGUCUUCUAAUUGCUGCCUAUCAGCGUCAGGUGCAGGAUCUUCUUCCUCCUCUUCAGUGUCAGGUACAGGGUGUCCCCCUUUCUUCAAGAGAAACGACACCUUUUCUUCUAAUGUCGCUAUCCGUUCCAGCGCCUUCCUCUUGCUUCUACCACGGCUUCUGUAAGUGUCAAGGUCCGCCGGAAACCCUUGGUUCCACGGGGUAGUGGCUCCAAAGCCUCGUGUUCGUCCCCACUUUUCGGGGUUCCCGAGUGCCUUCGUCAACUCGUCGUUCUCUCUAUCGGGAACAAAAGUUCCUUUUCGAACAGCUUCUGUUGCCUUCUCUAGAUCUGAUACGACUUGUCUUAUUUUUUCCGACCAUGGUCCCUCCGCAACAAUCAUCCCAGUCUCAGCGUCCAACGUUGCCCCAUGCGCAAACAACCAGAACUUGGACCUAUCGGGCCAGUCAUGUGUCUGUGGAAUGAUAUUUCUUUUCAGAAGCGCAUCUUCAUAGCGUCGCCACCUAGGCAGGGCAGUCAUGUAGCCACCUGACCCCAAAAUAUGGUGAUAUUUCUUCUUCUUCGCAUUCUCCGUAUUUGUCGCUGAUCGGGAUGUAAAGACACCCGAUUUCUUGUACGCCUUAAAAUCAGGCCAAGCGUCUCUUAUCUUCACUAGGUGCCUAGUGAAAACUGGAUCUUCGUCCUUAUAUUUCUUCCACAAGUCUUUCUUCCACCUCUGGAAUUGUGUGGCCAUCUUCUUCAAAGCCCACUCCUCGACUUUCUUCUUCUUAUCUUCCGCUACGCUGAAAUUUAGCCAGACCGUGUCGCAAAGCACUCUUUUCAAUCUGUCAUCGACAUAAGUAGCUCCAACGUUGGCGCCGGUCUUCGGCUUAUUCCAUUCUAUUAAGUUGAUCGGGACCAGGUCUCUUACAACAACUCCGCACUGAUUUACAAAUUUGCGAUAAGUUUCUGGGGGUUCCAGUGGUUUGCCAUCAGCAGCAACUUUAUCGAUCGAGUACCUUGCAGUAUCUUUCAACCUUGCGGCCGGGCCUCGUUUCGACUUUGUCUCAGUACUUGCGCUAGGUGUUCCGGAGGGCACCUAAACGGGAAAAUAAUGAUUCGUUAGUAAGUGCAAUACAAAUUAAUUGUUGCGUCAACAGUGACUUGAGAUAUACAUUGGCAGAGUUUGUUCCGGAGGGCACUUCUUCAUCUACUACAUCUUCUAUAUUCUCAGCUCCGUCACCGGAGUCAUUCAAAAAUUGAUUGCUAAACGCAUGCCCACCGUCGUCAUCAUGAUAUAUGGCCGUUGCAUCUUCAAAAAUCAUCUGGCACAUGUAUCUUUCCUUCUCCGCCUCACCCAUUUCCGCGAGCUGAUCGGCGUGCUGAUUAUGUGGAUCUUGGGGAUCCAUAGCUCAACACCUGCUAGUAACAAGAAUUUAACUUAGCAAAAUUAUUUACGGAAAACUUUUACGGAACCGGAAAAGUUUUACGGAAUCGUCGGAGUCGUAAUCAUCGCAAAGUUUUACGGAAUCGUCGGAAAGUUUUACGGAAUCGUCGUAAUCGUCGAAAACUUUCCCCGCAGUUAUGGAAUUAAUCGUCGGAAUCGUAGGAAAGUUUUACACAAUUGUAAUCGUCGGAAAGUUUUACGGAAUCGUCGGAAUCGUCGGAAACUUUCCCCGCAGUUAUGGAAUCGUCGGAAUCAUAGGAAAGUUUUACGGAAUUGUAAUCGUCGGAGAGUUUUACGAAAUCGUCGGAAUCGUCGGUUUAGGGUUUUACGGAAUCGUCGGUUCAGGGUAAACUAUGAAUCGUCGGAAUCGUCGGAAUCGUCGGUUUAGGGUUUUACGGAAUCGUCGGAAUCGUCGGUUUAGGGUAAACUAUGAAUCGUCGGAAUCAUCGGAAUCGUCGGUUUAGGGUUUUACGGAAUCGUCGGUUUAGGGUAAACUAUGAAUCGUCGGAAUUGUCGGAAUCGUCGGAAUCGUCNGAGGAGGCGGCGGCGCGGCGAGGCGGCGACGGCGCGGCGAGGCGGCGAGGAGGGAUCGAGGCGGCGAGGAGGCGAGAGAAGGAGAGAAGGCACGCGCGGGAAGGCGAGAAGUUGGCGACCCCGGAGAGGUAUAGGGCCUUUAGCACCGGUCUUNNNNNNNNNNNNNNNNNNNNNNNNNNNNNNNNNNNNNNNNNNNNNNNNNNNNNNNNNNNNNNNNNNNNNNNNNNNNNNNNNNNNNNNNNNNNNNNNNNNNNNNNNNNNNNNNNNNNNNNNNNNNNNNNNNNNNNNNNNNNNNNNNNNNNNNNNNNNNNNNNNNNNNNNNNNNNNNNNNNNNNNNNNNNNNNNNNNNNNNNAAGACCGGUGCUAAAGGGUCCAAAUUCGGGCGCGAACAGAACCCACCUUUAGGACCGGUUGUUGUUACAGACCGGUCCUAAUGGUCACCUUUAGGACCGGUCGUUGUUACAGACCGGUCCUAAAGGUUUUUUUCCUUUUUUUUCCUUUUUUCUGUUUCCUGUUUUCUUUUUUUUUGUUUUCUUUUUCUUUUUCCUGUUUCUUCUUUUAUUUUUAUUUUUUCUUUUUUCUGUUUCCUGUUUUCUUUUUAUUUUUGUUUCCUUUUUCUUUUUCCUGUUUCUUUUUUUAUUUUUCUUUUUUCCUUUUUCUGUUUUCUGUUUUCUUUUUCUUUUUGUUUCCUUUUUCUUUUUUCUGUUUCUUCUUUUAUUUUAUUUUUUUGUUUUCCUUUUCCGUUUUUUUUACAUUUAUUUACAAAUUGUUAAAAUGUCAUUUUUACACUUCAAAAAUUAAAAAUGAUAUUUAUCAAAAUGAUCAAAUUUAGUGGAAACUGAUCAAAUUUUUAAUAUUUAUCAAAAUGGUCAACACAAUUACAUAAAAGGUUUAAUACAUUAUUACACAUCACCAACAACACCCCCUAUCUAUUUUUCUUCUUGCCUUUCUUCUGAUUGCACCGUAACCAUGGACUAUCUUCAUCAUUUAACGGGAUGCUUGGAUCAUCUUUGACUUUGAAGGGAGGAAUUUCAUCAAAUUUAUUGUAAUCUUCUGACAUGUCUGUCUUGUCCUCGACUCCCACGAUGUUUCUUUUUCCUGAAAGAACUAUGUGGCGCCUUGGCUCAUCGUCUGAUGUAUUCACUUCCUUAUCUUUUCUUUUUCUCGGUCUGCUAGACAUGUCCUUCACAUAGAAAACCUGAGCCACAUCAUUGGCUAGGACGAAUUGAUCAUUGCCGUACCCAAGAUUCUUCUGAUCCACUGUUGUCAUUCCGUACUUCGGGUCUACCUUCACGCCUGACAGGUUGAACCAUUUGCACCAGAACAAAGGGACCUUAAAGGAAGGUCCGUAGUCAAGUUCCUAUAUCUGCUCUAUGUAACCAUAGUAUGUGACUCUUUGCCCGUUGUCAUCUUUUGCAUCAAACCGGACGCCACUGUUUUGGUUGGUGCUCUUUUUAUCUUGGUCUGCUGUGUAAAAUGUGUUACCAUUUAUCUCGUACCCUUUAAAGGUCAAUACAGUCGAAGAUGGUUGCUUGGCCAACAAGUAUAGCUCAUCUUCAACAAUGUUGUCAUUAAUGAGACGUCUUUGCAACCAACCGCCGAAAGUCUUCGCGUGUUCUUUAGCAAUGAAAUCUUCAGGUUGCUCCGGGUAUUCCGAGCGUAAAAUAUCCUUGUGUUCCUGGAUAUAUGGAGCCGACAAGCUGGAAUUAACUAGAACUGUGUAGUGUGCUUGAGUGAAAGAUUGCUCGUCCAUACAUGUUGUUGAUUUCUUUCCUAGCGUGCCUUUUCCACGCAGUCUCCCCUCAUGGCGUGACUGAGGAACACCGAUCGGGUUCAGGUCAGGAAUAAAGUCAACACAAAACUCAAUGACCUCCUCUGUUCCAUAGCCCUUGACAAUGCUUCCUUCUGGCCUAGCACGGUUUUUAACAUAAUUCUUCAAGACUCCCAUGAACCUCUCAAAGGGGAACAUAUUGUGUAAGAAUACAGGACCGAGAACGGAAAUCUCUUGGACUAGGUGAACUAUGAGGUGCGUCAUAAUAUUGAAGAAGGUUGGUGGGAACACCAACUCGAAGCUGACAAGACAUUGGACCACGUCCUUCUGUAAACUUGGUAGAGUUGCUGGAUCGAUUGCCUUCUGAGAAAUUGCGUUAAGGAAUGCACAUAGCUUCACAAUGGGUACUCGCACGUUUUCUGGCAGAAGCCCCCUCAAUGCAAUCGGAAGUAACUGGGUCAUGAUCACGUGGGAGUCAUGAGACUUUAGGUUUUGGAACUUUUUCUCUUCCAGGUUUAGUAUUCCUUUUAUGUUCGACGAGUAGCCAGACGGGACCUUGAUACUCCUCAGGACUUGGAAAAAGAUCUCCUUCUCUUCCUUGGUAAGAGCGUAGCUGGCAGGACCUUUGAAAUUCUCUCGAUUCAUCAGGUCGUCUCGUUCGUGCAUACGUUUGUGGUGCGGCCGUGCUUUUGGUGUAUCUCUCGACUUCUUCCCAUGCACGCCCAAUAAGUUUAGCAGGUUCAUGCAAAUAUUUUUCGUCACGUGCAUCACGUCGAUCGCAGAGCGAACCUCUAGGAAUUUCCAAUAGGGUAGUUCCCAGAAUAUAGAUUUCUUCUUCCACAUGGCUACGUGGUUCUCGGCGUCACUCGGAACAGAUUGUGCGCCAGGACCCUUACCAAAGAUUACUUUUAUAUCUUUGACCAUGUCAUAUAUAUCAGUACCUUUAGGGAGGGUUGGCUUCCUCCGUGUAUCUGCCUCGCCUUUGAAAUGCUUUCCUUUCUUUCUUACGGGAUGCCUGUCUGGAAGAAAUUGACGAUGCCCCGGGUACACAUUCUUGCCUAUAUGUAUACUUUCAGUCUCGCCUAAACAGUGUGUGCAUGCGCUGUAUCCCUUGUUUGACUGUCCUGAGAUGUUACUAAGAGCGGGCCAAUCAUUGAUGGUUACAAACAGCAACCCUCGUAGGUCAAAUUCCUCCUGUUUGUACUCGUCCCACACACGUACACCUUCGUCAGCCCAUAACUCUAAAAGUUCAUCAACCAGUGGCCUCAGGUACACAUCAAUGUUGUUGCCGGGUUGCGACAGGCCUGGGAUAAGCACUGGCAUCAUAAUGAACUUACGCUUCAUGCAUAACCAAGGAGGAAGGUUAUAGAUACAUAGAGUCACGGGCCAGGUGCUAUGACUGCUACUCUGCUCCCCAAACGGAUUCAGGCCAUCUGUACUUAGACCAAACCUUAAGUUUCUUGGGUCACGUGCGAAGUCCUCGUACUUAUCGUCGAUGUUUCUCCACUGCGACCCAUCAGCGGGUUGUCUCAGCAUAUCGUCUUCCUUACGGUCUUCUUUGUGCCAUCGCAGCAACUUGGCAUGCUCUUUGUUUCGGAACAAACGUUUCAACCGUGGUAUUAUAGGAGCAUGCCACAUCACCUUGGCAGGAACCCUCUUCCUGGGGCGGUCGUCGCCCUCAACAUCACCAGGGUCAUCUCGCCUGAUCUUAUACCGAAAUGCACCGCAUACCGGGCAGACAUUUAAAUUCUCGUGCUGACCGCGGUAGAGGAUGCAGUCAUUGAUGCAUGCAUGUAUCUUAUGCACUUCCAAUCCUAGAGGGCAGACAACCUUCUUUGCUUCGUACGUACUGCAGGGCAGCACGUUAUCUCUUGGAAGCAUCUUCUUCAUUAUUUUCAGCAGCUUUUCAAAUUCCUUGUCAGAUAUUCCAUUCUCUGCCUUCCAUUGCAGCAAUUCCAGGGUGGUGCCCAGCUUUUUCUGGCCAUCUUCGCAAAUUGGGUACAACAAUUUUUUGUGAUCUUCUAACAUGCGCUCCAACUUCAACCUCUCGUUUUCACUUUCGCAGUUUAUCUGUUCUUCACGAAUGACCUGACGAAGAUCAUCAUCAGACUCAUCAACAAUGUCCUCAAGUUCAGGCUCGUCUUCCCCCAUUUCAGUAUCACCGUGUUCACCGAACAUAGGAUAGUUAUCAUUAUCCUCUUCUUCUUCAUUGUCUUCCAUUACAACCCCUCUUUCUCCGUGCUUGGUCCAACAAAAAUAACUGGGCAUGAAGCCUUCUUGCAACAGGUGGGUGUGUACGGUUCUUGAGUUAGGGAAAUUCCUCUUAUUCUGGCAUUUUUUACAUGGACAAAAAAUAAAUCCAUUCUGCCUGUUUUUCUCAGCCACAUUGAGAAAAUUAUGCAUGCCAUUAAGGAAUUCGGGACGACGUCGAUCACUGUACAUCCAUUGCCGGUUCAUCUGCAUUAUAUAAAUUUAUCAAAAACCAUUAUGCUAAAUCAUCAUGACUAAAUUAAUUAAUUAAUACAAAAGGUUGAUCACACGUUAAAACCAAAGUAGCGUAGUGACCAUACAUAUAUAGUUCUCAUAAAAACAUACACUGAAACCAACCAUAAAAACUCUCUCUAAUUAAUGCAUUUAAAAACAACAACAAUGCGAUCAAAAUCGCAACAAAGGUAACAAUUGACCCGACGGCAUAAUGAUACCAAGCCUCUUUACUAAUUGCAUAUUUUCUAAUCUUUUUAAUCUUCAGACGCAUUGCGUCCAUCUCGCUCUUGUGACCAUCGACGACACCGGCAAGAACCUUUUCCAAGGUCAUCUUCUCUCUUUCAGUUUUUUCCAACCUUUCUUCAGUUUUUUUCAAUCUUUCUUUCAGGGCAACAUUUUCUUGUUCAACUAAGUGUAACUUCUCACCAAUAGGGUCGAUUGGCAUUUCCGGUUCCACUACCUCCUAGAUAAAAAUAUCUAUGUCAAGUUGGUCGGCGUAAUUAAUUGUCAUAUAAUCAGGAAAUGAAAAUAUGUAGUUAUAAAAGAUAAUAUACCACAUCCGAAUCAUAGACUGGACGAGGGCCAACGGGGACGGAUAUCAAAACCAUGACGCUAUACAUAUAAAAAAAAUCUUACACAAUAAGAAAAUUAUAUACAAGUAAAUAUGUAAAUCAUACAAAUCAAAAUUUGUUUUGGUAAAUAAAAACAAUAGGCUUACCAAGGUUGUGUCGGUGACGGGGCGAUCGACGGCGGUGAGGAAGGGGACAAGGCGCGCGACACUAAAAAAAACCACAAAUCAUAAUUAAAUUUGAGCUCAAAUUGCAUAUGUAUACAUAACAAAUGAUGAACUCUCUCUAGCUUAGGCAUUUCAUCAAACACCUAGCUAGCACAACAAAAAUGAAAUGAGCAAGAAAACGAGCAAAACUUGCAAUGCCGGAAGAGGGAAUGUUGAUGCUAACCGUAGGACCGAUGGGUGCCAACAAUCUUGACAAAUGGUGGAGAAAAAUGGGGAUGGAUUAGAGCUCCCAAGAGGAAGGAGAGAGCAAAAAUGGAGUUGAGCUCGAGCUAGAAAAAAAGGGGUGGAAUAUAGGGUGCUCAGGGAGGAAGGAGAGGAGGGCUUUAGGACCGGUUUGUGUCAAAAACCGGUUCUAAAGGGUCUGACAGCGGGGCCCUGCAGUUGCUGCAAAAAUGAGAAAACCUUUAGAACCGGUUUNNNNNNNNNNNNNNNNNNNNNNNNNNNNNNNNNNNNNNNNNNNNNNNNNNNNNNNNNNNNNNNNNNNNNNNNNNNNNNNNNNNNNNNNNNNNNNNNNNNNNNNNNNNNNNNNNNNNNNNNNNNNNNNNNNNNNNNNNNNNAAACCGGUUCUAAAGGGUCUGUCCACUGGGCCCCCCUCCCUGCAGCAAACGGUCCAAAAACCUUUAGGACCGGUUUGUGUUACAAACCGGUCCUAAAGGCCUUCCGGCCAUUUGCUGCAGGGAGGGGGCCCAGCGGACAGACCCUUUAGAACCGGUUUAUAUCCAAUCCGGGUCAAAUGUUGUUGGCUCAAUGUCCUGUUUUCUACUAGUGCAUGUAGCUGGGACCGUCAUAUAAAUAAUUUUGUUACAUAAACUUUUGGUGAUGAAAUAGCGAAAGUGAAUGUCUUUAUUUUAUUUCUCAUUUAAGGUAGAUACAAACAAUCUACAUACAACAAUAGUAACACAACCACAACUGCACUAACAACAUAGCACUAGCUAGUAUAUCCUACUCGUUUCUCUUGCCUCAGUCAUGCCACUCUCAUAUCUCACUUAUAUAAUUUGAUUGGGUACAUAUAAUGUUCAAUUGUAGCAGAUCAUUAUUCUAACUCGAUUGAAAUGCAUGUAUGGUUGUUAACAUGUGACAUGUUUCUUUUUACUACAAGACAUACAGGCUUAACUUUGGGGUGAUAUGUGUUUGCAGUCCUCUACCAUAAAUACCAGCUUCAUGGACAUUAGCUUUGCUCUAUAAAGAGAGAGUUGAGAAUCCCGAGAGAACAAUGUCGAUUAGGAGGAGUUGGAUGUUUUGCCACUUUCUAGGAAUGUGAGGUAUCAAGGAACACACCACUUGUAGUUAUCAUCGUAAGCAUUGCGUCAACGGGAAAGGUUGUCUUGGUUGUGGAGGAGUUCGACAAGUCACCUUUGUGGGGCUGCAUAACAUUUAGCCAAGCUGCCUACAACUUAAGCACCGUUCGAGGAGCCAAUAGUAUAAGGUACUAUAUACUCCCUCCGUUCUUAAAUAUAAGUCUUUAAAGAGGUUUCGUUAGUGAACUACAUACCGAUGUAUAUAGGCAUACUUUAAAGUAUAGAUGCAUUUAUUUUACUUCAUAUGUAGACUCCUAGUAAAAUAUCUUAAAAAACUUAUAUUUAGGAACGGAGGGAGUAGUAGACAGUGCUAAGGCGAGAACUUUCUAGGAAAGAGGUUGGUGGUGGUCUGACGGAGCACAAUAGCAAGGGAUAAUACUCCCUCCGGUCCUUUUUAGUCUGCAUAUUAGCUUUGUCCGAAGUCAAAGUAUCUCUGCUUUGACCAAAUUUAUAGAAACAUGUAUCAACAUUCAUAAUGCCAAAUUAAUAUUGUUAGAUUCAUUACGAAAGGUAGUUUCAUGAUAUGUAUAUUUGGUAUUGUAGAUGUUGAUAUUUUUUAAUAUAUAUUUGAUCAAACUUUGUAAAGUUUGACUCGAUCCAAAUAUAAUAUGCAGAGUAAAAAGGACCGGAGGGAGUAUCAUUUACUUUUUAGGACCGUGACAUCAGAAUUUUUAUGUGGAUCCCACGCGGAAGGGUGAAGGAGGCCCUGCCACAGCCCUUGUCGUCUGGGCUUUGCCCGGCGACACAGCUGGACGGCGAGGCAGGAGGUCCGCAAGUAGGAGGAGAGGGGAGGUGAUCACCUACACGUACAUGACCUAAACUUGUACACGGACAUAAAGUACUUUUAGACUCGCCGACGCAUGCAAGUCAAUCUGCAACUUGCUUACGAACACAUCAAUUUACUUGGACAAGACUGCCUAGCAUUCAUCCUCUAAUCUUGACUUGUCUCUUCUCAUACUCCCUCCGAUCUUGAUUCGUUCUUUACUCAUGACUUAUCAGCAUAUCAAUUUAAUCGUCAUAUUCGUAUAGUGAGUAUGGCCUGUCUAGAAACAUGCAAAACCUCCUUGCUUUACAAUGUUCUUCCAUUGCUAUUGCUUGGCCGCUUUCUUGCACUCGGCCCACACCAUAGUCCUUAUCCUUGCUUGCAGCGGAUCCACUCUGCACUACUUGCACACCUCUUCACCUUAUAAUGGUUCCGCCUACCAUCGUUCGUGUUCGGCAGCACACCGAAUUCACACUCGCCUCAAUCAAGAUGCUCCACGAUGACAUGGACAUGACCCAUGGAACAGCAUGCACAUCGCUUCCACUUCAACAAAUAAUCGCCAAGACGAGCACUUGGACACGCCGAAGUCGAACGUGCAAGUCGCACGACUCCUUGACUCCCCCCACUCCGCGAACGACGAUAUUGAUGAUCUCCAGCGCCACACCUCGGCACCACUCUCUCAUCGAAUAUAUCCUUCUGCCAACUUGCCAACGACGAUCGCCUGAUCCACCUCGUCGCUACACCACCUAUCGUCUUCAUAGACCGCCCCGAGGUGCUAGCAGGUUUCCAUCCUAGGACCAGCAUGCCUUUAAAUAGAGUGCUCUGAUACUAAUUGUUGGACUUCGUCCACAACAUCAAUCACAUCAAAUCACGAUAAAUACGUACACAAAAAAUGGAUAGCCAGGAGCUCUUGACAUCAGGGCGGAACGUGAACUAAAUCCAGGUGGGUUGGGCAACAGAGCUAUGAAGAUUAGAGAGGGCGGAUAAUUAGCUGGAAGUUUAGGUUAAAGGAGAAGCUUAUCACAUGAAAUUUCUCACGGAAGGGGGCCCGGACACCUGUUAGUCCCGCCAAUGCUUGUCGUGCCAUUUUUUUUGGUGAGUACACACCACAAUAGUGGCAUCACCGCAACUGCGGUAACAACCGAACACUAGGUAUAUCCCAUUCAUUAAUGUUGCCUCAUUUGUGCAAUUUAUGAGACGUCUCAUUUAUAUAUUUUGAUUGGGUGCAGAUAAUAUUCAAUUGGAGCAGAUCGUCAUUAUUCUAACUUGAUUGAAGUGCAUCUAUGGUUGUUAAGAUGUUAUAUGUUUCUUCGUACUAUAAGAUAUAUGUGCAUAACUUUGGGUUGAUCUGUGUUUGCAGUCCCCUACCAUAAAUACCAGCUUCACGACUAUAUUAGCUUUGCUUUAUAAAGCCAGACUUGAGAAUCCAGAGAGAACAAUGUCGACUAGGAGUAGUUGGAUGUGUGCCACUUUCUAGGAAUGUGAGGUAUUCAGGAACGAAUUGAAUAAGUAAAUUUAGUGGUGCCGGUAUCUAGCGGUGAGGAAUCCACCAUCCGUUGCUGCUUCUAUAUUCGUGCGUGUGGACCCCAUGCGAGAUAUUGUCAACCUUGACGUCGAUGUCUUUCCCACAUCCAGCUCUCUUUCUCCAUCUCUCUCGUCUGUUCCUAUUGGUCGCGGUUCACCGUCGCCGGUGGCUUCCGCCCAUUGUGGACAGCAUAUCUGUCUUAUCCACCAAGGCCCAGCACCCGAUACGAUUUCCGCAGUCGGCUUCGCAGUAGCACGACCAGGCUUCAGCGUAUAGAACAUCCCAACAACUUUUCCCCCAUGUAUCCAUAUAGCAGGACUUUCAUUGCAUAAGCACUGAAGCAAGCUGAAGACGCACCAUCGUCAUUGCGCCUUCCAUAUCGGAGCUAGGCAAACCGUGUUUUAGUAGACUGUCUGAAAGUCGUCAUGCUAAGGUCCCACUUGACCAACGCGCCAAAACAACAAGCGUCACUGAUGAGGAGAAGUUUAGGUUGGAAGUAUCCAACUUUUAUACACAUAUAACAAAGACCAUAUCAAAUUAGAUUCAAGAAAGACAAGCACCAACCGACCCUGCAAGAUCCGUCGGAGACACACCUUCACGCGUCCUUCAACGACGCUACAUGGGAAUCUUUGAAACGUAUGGAAACUAAAGUAUAGCUUUUUCGUGUUUUCAUGAUUUUGUAGUUUCGAUUGGCAUUAUACAGUAAAGUCACAUCUUGAAAAUAUGUUAAUUUAAUAGAUGUAAACUUUUUGAAACAAGAGGAUUUUUAGCAGCACAAAAGAACACGAAGAACGACCAGUCAAGUAGAAAUAGAGGACUCACAAUUGAGCAAAGUAAAUUAGUUGGGUAAAGUUGGAUGUAUAUACUGCAUGAGAAAUGCCAGGUGUCAAGAUGUACAUGUAUUUUUAUUUUUUCAAAAAUGUUGCUUCCUUCCUCUCUUUACGAUGGAAAAUUUGAACAUUUAUCCCUGUUUACCUAAAUGUUGCUUUAGUUCUGAUAGCACACACAAGGCUUUUCUGCUGUUCCACGAGAAUAACAAUAUACAUUGGAUGAUGUCGUAAGCUUUACCAUUUGGGCAACAAGAGAUUGAAAAUAACUACUAUACAGACGAAACAAAUACGAGAGGAAUGGAUGGUUGCAAUAUGACAAUAAUGAGAGAAAAAGAACCAUGGUGAUCAUUCAUGCUGACUGUAGCAUCAACUUUUGGAAUAUAUUUUAUAAACAGAGGCAAAAGAAUUGCCUCAUCAAUUAACAAAAGAAUUGGCCGGUUAAUUUGCAAAAAACAGGGAAAAAAUGGAUACAAACAACCCAAAAGAGGGCUACUCACAAAGCAUGAAACACCACAUCAACAUAGGAUGCCUGCCCAAUGAUCCUAACACACAACACUCACAACCCUCAACACAUUUGGCGAGAACACCAACACAAUGACUCACAAGAUCAAAGCCACGACAAUGACAGGAGAAUGUGAGCCCUAUCCAUCAUGAAAUCAUGAAUGCCUUUCCUUUCCAUGAGGAGGCAACCGUUUGUAUUGUAGGAUCCAGGGCGAUCAAUCAAUAAGCGGCUCUCAGAAGCAGGCGCCAACGCACCACUAGUAUCAACAAUUCACCAGAUGCACACAUGUCAAAGAUAAAUAAUGUUCCUGACAGGAGGUCACCAACGAGUCCAUGUUCAUAUUCUUCACUGACAGACUAAGAGAAAUCUCUCUAAGCUCGGGCAUGAUCUGCAACAUCGGAGCCAUGACAAAGGUGACGGACUCACCUCAGUGGAAGACAAUAUAAGGGCCGAGGUCGACAUCGAUGUGGAAUUGUCUCCACGAGUGGAGAAACAUCUGAAUAACUCCACCCCUCUGUCCGCUACGGAGCCAUGGCGUUGUCUGAUAUGCCAGAAGAGACUGAACCAUCACUUUGGACUGGAUUGCCAAACUAGCGGAAGUAGAGACAACUAAUGCCCAUGACCCACGGUGAAGUGCCUUGGAAGGGAGCAUGGAUUUCAUAUAUAGGACCCUCACAGGAAGCAGGAGGAAUAAGAUGCAUAGAGGCGGGGCAAGACACACAAGGCGUGGAAUGGCAUGCUACCGAGCUUAGAGGACACCAGGGGAUUGGGGCAUCCACGACGAGAGCACGAUAUCGGCUCGCUAUAAUCAGUCGCACGACGUCCAUGAGCGAGGAACCUGCAACAUCUACCGUAAAGCCAAGAGGGGAUGGGACGUUGAGCCACUUUGGGGUAUGGCGACCACAUCAAAACAUGCGGGCUACACCGUGGAAGUACCUCCUGCCAAUCACCACUUGUGUUUGCCUCAUGCCACACGCAAAUCCUGUCCAACUCGAGGGCCUUGGUGGCACCCAGCAGUGUCUGGGGGGCUAGGUCCUCUUCAUCAUCUUUAUCGUUGUUAUUGUCGUCACCAGGGGAGGUCCACAAUAGAGAUCGCGACACAAGAGUCAGUUCGCCCCCAGGCCAAUGACGCCGCACUCCAGAUCCUUUGCAUUGUCCUCAUCGAUGACAUUGGUUGAGGAAACAUGGUCAUGUUGUGGCACAUCUGAUGCAACACCGUCAAGACGGACAGCGGCUAUCAGCAACACAUCCUAGGUGGGACAGGGGCGGUGGGCAUUGGGCAUUUUGGGGGCGAAGUAGCUGUCGUAGGCCUCGAAUAUGGUGUCAGCGACGCCUUCACGCGCCCGUCUUCCUUCCUGAAUCUGCAGGUUGGGGGUUGCGGCCAUGAUCGAGCGUGAACGUCGGCAGACGGGUUGCUCCUGCUGGCGUCCACCGCAGCACUGUCCACCGACGCCACCGCACGGCACAACCCCUGGGCAUCAAGUAUCGCCUCCACCUUGAUCACCUAGGAGAUGUAUUUCUUCGGUGUCAACGGCGGAACAUCCAUCGUCACUGACACACCGCCGCCGCCGAACGGGACCAUCGCCAUGGCAGCCGGCGAUCACCCUCCAACCAGGCUCUCAUGCCAAUUGUUGGUGCGGGAAUGGAACCGCUGCACUCCGGUGAUCACUAGAAACAGCUUCAGAAGAGAGGAAGGAGAAGUACAACAUAUUUCUGACCCUCGAACACCACCGCUGCACCAACGACGCACUCUAUAUUGCGUGAGCACGAACUCAAUUUUCUCAUCAAUUACAAGGGUUGGGAUUUGAGCUUUAUACGCCAGCCACACCAGCGCGUGCCGCGCCACGUCCACGACCAACUCACCACGCCCCGGACCUCCUGGGCUCGCGAACCCGCCGCGCACAUACACGAACGACGCGGCCACCACCGGUGCACUUGACUAAGUCACCCUACUCCUGCGCUAGCUACCGCACGCACGCACGCCUAACCCACACAUACACACACACUCGGCCGCGCCCACACGUACGCGAGUGCCUGCCGCGAAUCGCACCCAACGUGCCUUGCGCGCACGCUUUGAGGUUUCGGCCGCGGCUUAUUCCCAACAAGAAUUGUUGUUGCACAAUAAGCUAGACUAGCUAGCACCUUAGUUUGUCAGUGUUAGUUUUCCCUUGAGUCAAGAUUCAGUUAGCGCACGUUUAGCCAUCAGGUUAGUUAUCUCAACUCCCGCAAGACGUGGUACGUACGAUGUGCGUAGAGUUUUUUGGAGCCGUGGAGUGAGUGCUCAAUCGUGGGAUGGCACGAUUCAGUAGAGCGUCAGGAUCGCGGCAUGGUAGUUUGGGUUCGAGCUAAUAAAGAGGUGAAGAACUGAAAAGCAGCAGACAGUUAGAGCUGCACAAAACGAACUCGCCAUUGACAGAGCAUCGAGUUCACUGGUAGCUAGGGGCGACAAGUGGUAUCACAGCCAUCGCGGGAACCUCGACAACCGGUGGCGCCCGGUCGCAGACGCCUCCUCGCCUCCGCGCUCCGUCCCAAGAUCGGGGAAGGACUUGGUACCGCGGUGAAACGGUGGUGCAGCAAGUGGUGCAGCCGGCGUCCUCGAGUGGCGCGCUCCCAAUGCUGUCGCGCACCAACUACGCGGAGUGGGCGCUGCUGAUGAAGGUUUACCUCCAGGCCCAUGGCUGGUGGGGGGCGGUGGCUCAUGGUGAGGCCUCCUACCACGACGAGCGCAACGCCAUGAUCACCAUCCUUCGAGGCCUUCCAGCAGAUGUUCUUCUUGCGGUAGGCGAGAAGGAGAACCCUAAGCAGGCUUGGGAUGCUAUCGCCAUGCAGCGCCUUGGCGCCACACGGGUGCGGGAGGCUAACGCUCAGAAGCUCCGUCGCGAUUUUGAGAGCAUCAGUUUCCGCGACGGGUAGACGAUCAAUGACUUCUUGCUUCUCCUUUCCCAUGGUGUCGCAUGAAGGUGGCGGGCGGAGCAGGUAGCGCUGCAGUAGGACGGCCAUGGCCGCGGCUGCGGCAACGUAGCUGGUGGCGACGCAAGUGGCGGCGGAGGCGCAGGCGGCGGCGCAGGACGGCCAGGCGGCGACGGGACAGAGUGGCGUCGAGUGGCCCGAUUAGAACACUAGGAUUGAUUUCGAGACGUUGUUGCGCGGUCCCACAUGUAAGCUCCGGACCCACGUCCACGUAGUACGACGUGUAAGCUCCGGACACGCUACCACUAACGCCAAUAGACGGAAUGGAGUCAAAACUGCCUGUUUGGCCUCAUCACAAUAGUUGUGCACAGUCUAGAGGCAAAACUGAGGACGAUUCACAACUCAGGGUAAAACUAAGCACAUGAACACCACCGAAGGCAAAAGGAUAAUUAGCCCUUUAAAGUAUAGCUCAUUUUCAGCCUCUCACCAAGUUGUAGUAUUCAUAUAUUUUUCGAACAGUUGGAAUAAAUGCUUGACCAUUAUAUGUGUGCCUUUCAUAUUAUUAAAAUGCAUGCAUAAUAUGCCAAGGAUUCUACAAAUGUACAAUGGGGAAUACACAAUAAAUAAGCAGUUUUAAUGUACUCCCUUUUACUUUCUAUUUUAAUAGAUAUACGAGUCAUCGAUCUAAUUGAUUAGUGAUUAUGAUUAAAUCUUAUCUUCUUACCUUACAUGUAAAAUGAGAGGGUAAGGGGGAAUAAGCUAAAAUUUGCCAUGCAAAAUUUACAACCUUAGAUGAUGUGUCGUUUGUCUGAAGUAUCCGACCUUGAAGAAAUGUUAUAAUAUUCCUACCAACCAUUCAUUAAACAUGGAUGCCACCCCUAUAAAGCCAGUUGCAUACAUGUCUACUAUCAUUGCAUACAAUCUCUUCUUCUACUUCCUCCUACGUAUCUUAGCCCCUUUAAGCAACUAGGCAGUAGCACUAGCAUUCUAUCUAAAACGAGUGAAAUAGUAAUUUCGGGAAAAAUAGAGACAUGUCUAAAAUGAGCAAACAUAGUACUGAUUAGCAUUUGGACGCGUGAACAGAGUUCGGAAUGAGAGGCACUCGGGAGGACAUCAUCUAUUGAAGCUUAGAUUCUUCUUUCUCAACUUGUUGUGCCAUGCCUGGCACAUCAAGAGAAAGUGAAGACCUUGAGAAAUGCCCCUCUAGAGACGGUGGCAGCUGUUCCAGGGCCAACUUCGGGUAGGGCGUGGCCAAGCUUUCUAGUAGGUGGAUGAGGCGUUUCUGUAUCAAUAUAGCAGGGCUUUCUGUGUAUUAGCAGGUGGAUGACGCCUUCCACCGAUGGACCACACACUAUACCUGGCGAGCCCACGCCAAAGAGACUUCCGCGGCAGGAAUGGCCGCUGUGGGGCACUAGACUACAACACUGUAUAAAGUAAAAUUUUAUUACUGUCCUUAUAUAAUCGAUCGGACCACUCACUCCAAAAGCAGACAGACCAUAGGUUGACAGGUGGUUUAUCCGGAAAAUCAUCAGUCAUUCCUUGUCACAAACUCCUUCAAACAGUGCCAGGGGUCCCGUUUCCCUACACCUCAGCUAAUGUGUUUUAAGGACUAGGCAACCUCUUCGUUAUAAGACCGAGAAUAUNUUGAAACUAUGUUAAUUUAACAGGUGUCAACUUUUUAAAACAUGUGGGGAUAUUUAGCAGCAGAAAAGAACACGAAGAGAGUCCAGACAAGUAGAUAUUAAGUAAUCACGAUUGAGCAAAGUAAGUUAGUUGGGUAAAGUGGGAUGUAUGUACUGCAUGGAAAAUGUGAGUCAAGAUUUACAAAAAUGUUUGUUCAUUCCACUCUAUACGUCGCAAAAUUUGAACAUUUACCCCAUUUUACAUAAAUGUUGCUUUAGUUCUGGUAGCACACAGAAGUCCUUUCUGCUGAUCCACGAAAACAACAAGAUACAUUAGCUGAUGUCAUUUUGGCACCAAAGACAUUGAGUACGACUAACUGUACAGAAGCAACGACUACGAGAGGAAUGGAUGGUUGCAAUAUGUGAAUAAUGAAAAAAAGAAAAGAACUCUGGUGAUCAUUCACGCUGACUGUAGCAUUCUACUUUCGGAAUAUAAUUAAGUCAUGCUUUAGGAAAUAAAAAUUAGCAAGAUUCAUUAAAAGAAGAAAAUGGAGUGUUAUUUUGUUAGGUACAUGUCAUGCACAGACCAAAAGAGAAAAGGAAAAUAUGCUAUAAUGUGAAUGCGAGACGGAUUUUUGUGCAAGUCCACAACACUAGUUUUUUUCCUAAGAAUCUUUCGUGACAAGCUAUCCCCCCUCAUAUACUAGAUAUAUGGAAACUUCCUUCUUCCCUGGCUCCAGGUAUAUAUGAGCUUCAUCUUAGGUCAUUGCAACCAUACAAUAAGUCAAUAGUAGAAUUCUGAAUUGGAGUAGCCUUAUUUUGAAACUUAGGAUGCACCCAUGAUUAUUAGGGACACGCUAGAGUUACCAGUACAAAAUUAGUGUGUGCAACCUUUCUUGGAAAUGAGAUACUCCCGGAACACAUCGGCUGCAACUGUGGGACUGGUAGGUUGUGGUGAGAUCAGUUUGAAGAUGCCAGAAAUAUCAGGCGCUUCGUGCAGCUGGGACUCUUGCCAUUCAUCAAGUUUAGACACAAACCAUGUUGGGUCCAACCACUCUGAUUUCUUUUUUGUGUCGUCCCCAUGUCUUCCAAAUGAUUAAGCCGACGCUACCGCACCAUCUGAGUACGUUGUUGGACCAGGACAAUCAUGAGGUCUAGUAUAGGAUUAGGCUGGUGAUUAGCUAGUAUAAAAAUGUGGUCAGAAGUUUGAGGUGUAUAUGAAACACGUGACCUGCAACCGUGCUGUGUCAACGAUCAAGACAUUUUUCUAGGAAGGUUACUCGGUAACCUCACAGGUAUGGAACCGGAGUGAGUGGUAUUUAACGUUAACAACAUGUCUACAAUCAUCUUGUGGAAGAAUCGAGUGCAUCAUGGUAGAUGCAAACACAGUGAUACAAGAUAUUUCUACUUAAGGGGGUGCGUGGAAGAAUGUGAGUUUGUAUGUUUGCACUGAUGACCAACUUACAUACAUUCUAACAAAGGUUUUGGAUCAAGAAAAGUUCUUAGAAAAGGGAAGAAGGGUCGACGAUGGAGCUAUGACGUGACGUCUUCGUGUUUAGGGUAGUGAUUGUUGGAAUUAACCACGUCAACUGAGUUCGUGUUGGAGUGUUACAAUCAUCAGAACUCGUAUAGGAUUAGGCUAUCUAGGUUAGCUCCUAUAUAUACAUAUCCCUGGACCUUUGUGAUUUG
rnacentral:lncRNA from 1 species